UCUGUGCUGAGUUUGUGUUCCUUCCAGCUCCCUCGGAGUGGGUGGAUCAGUGCAGCCCAGCCCAGCCUGCCAUUUACUACAUCAUCUUCUGGCUUUCCUCAGCUGCACAGCAGAACAGUCUAGCUCAGCCUGCCAGCUUGCCUGUGCCAGUACACCUCCUGCGUUCCUUCCAGCUCCCUCAGAGUGUUUGAGUGUCCUCCUCCAGCCUGCCGUUUCACUCCCCUUCCGCUGGCUUCUCUCGGUAAUUCAGCAUAGGGGUCUAUCCCCUAACGCCAGCCUUUCUGCCAUCCAGAUAGUGGGGUCCUGCAGGAACAGGUUGGACUCCCCCAAUUGUAUUCCAUCUCCCAUGAUGCACUACAGCCAUAGGAUUGCCAUGAUGCACUGCCUCCCCUCUUAAAGAGUAAAGACCGUGGGUGGUGUGAAAGCGAAGAGGAGAGUCGUCACGUUUGCAGCAGCCAUUACUAUUGUAAGGAUUCUACAAAAAGAGGAAUUUUGUUUGUUCCAAGAGGUCAUCUGCUUCUUCUCCUUAUUCCUCAUCUGAACUGAAUGAUGUCAGAAUCCAGAGAUGUAAGAUGAAUUUUCCUAGCCAAUUUCCAAUCUGAAAGGCUCCAAAAUAGAACAGCAAUAUUUGACUCCAUCUAAACUCCAUUCCACAGCUUACUAUCAGCCAUGGGAAUUUACAAGCAUUCCAAAGAGGCUGAGGAAAUCCAGGAAACCACAAUGACAGCUCUACUUGAAAAAGACCAUUAUAUGAUAGUGACUUGAGAGAGAAAAUACAGCAUAUUUUACCUCAUUCAUGAAAGAUUAGAAAUAUCACUUAUAUUAAACUGUUUGGUUUAAUAAAUGAUUUGGUUUUAAUUAGAGCUGGCCAGGAAUUUUUUGAUAGAAUGUUUUUUGUUGGAAAAUGACAGUUUGUUGAAACCAAAACUUUGUGCAGGAAUGUAGCAGGUUCAACAACGUUUUCAAGAGAGGUUUCUGAGGUACAAGAUGGAAUAUGUAGUCCCAGAGGGAGAGAGACAGACAGACAGAUACCAGAA